rnacentral:rRNA from 1 species
UACGGAGGGAGCUAGCGUUAUUCGGAUUUACUGGGCGUAAAGCGUACGUAGGCGGCUUUGCAAGUUAGAGGUGAAAGCCUGGAGCUCAACUCCAGAACUGCCUUUAAAACUGCAUCGCUUGAAUCCAGGAGAGGUGAGUGGAAUUCCGAGUGUAGAGGUGAAAUUCGUAGAUAUUCGGAAGAACACCAGUGGCGAAGGCGGCUCACUGGACUGGUAUUGACGCUGAGGUACGAAAGCGUGGGGAGCAAACAGG